CCCCCCAGUUAUUUUAACCAAAAAUGUCUCCAGACAUUGCCAAAUAUUCCCCGAGGGCAAAACCGCCCCAUUGAGAACCACCGCCUCAGAGGGAGCCAAUUCCGCCUUGGACACCACAGAGAAGCAAUCUGUAGAUAGUCAAUAGUUAAGAUAGUCAAUAGUGAAUAAUUGAGACUUCGUCGUUUCUGUGGCAACUACUCAACUCUGCCACUGUACCUCAACAGCAGCCAUAGACAAUUGAUACACAAAUAAGGGUUACUUGUUCCAGUAAAACUUCAUUUACAAAAACAGGCUGGCGCACGGGCUGUCGUUUGCUCUUUCCCACUAUAAAGCAAAUGCAGCAUGAGCAGCAGCAGAGUAUCCUCUUUAGAUAUGUCACACUGUUACAGUGCCAUACAACCUGGGACUGAUCUAACAUAUAGGCAGCUUGGACUUUGUGGACAUGUGGACUGUGAGAAGGGCCCCUAUGAAGCCCUCUGCCUCAUAGGCUAGGCAUGGUGCCUGCAACAUCACAAUGGAAGGGUCAUCUUGCAGAGAGUCAAGCAUGGCUUGUUGACCAGUAUCCUCUCCAGAAGAGCACAAUCCUAGAAGAGGGCUAGAAGAUAAAGCUGUUUUCAGGCUGGGCUUGGAGAGAUAUGCAGCUUCGACCUGUGCUGCUUAGAACAUCCCCUCCUGGAACCCCGCGAUGCUGUGAGAAGCCCACACUACAUGGCGAGACCACAUGGGGGAAAACUGAGACACUCUGAUCAACAGCCCAGUGCUUCUCUCUGCUGACAGCCAGCAUUGAUGUCCAGCCAAGUCUGCCAGCAUGACCCUGGGAACACACGACACCCCACCACCCCUGAAGACAAUUCCUGCUGAUGACCUGAUGGGAAUGCCCAAGUCCAUCCCCAAGGCCGAGCAGAGCCCUACCACCUCCUGGAAGCCUCCUCUGACCUCCCGGGCAUUGUCUCUACUUUCUCUGAAAUUCUACAGCGUGAAGUCUGUUCACUUUUUUGGCUGUUAGUCCAUUGGCUUUUUAAUGAGCUCUUUGGGAGCUCUUUCAAGUUGAGGGCCUCACUUCAUAUUUCUCUGGGCUCCCCAGUGACUUAAUUUGUUCUCAAUAAAUGUUAGUCCGCUAAUUGAUGGCUAAACCUCUAAAGAUUUGUGAGAGUAAUUUUUGGGAAGAUCAAAGGGAUAACAAUGGGAAAGUGUGUUGAAAGCUUUUAUAAGAGCCUGAUGUUACCGCCCCUGCACCUCUACGAAAAUAACAACAACUGCUGGGGCCGGCCCA